UUUUAGAAGUCGUUAAAUGAAUAGCGGAGUCCACACAACAACAAUAACUAUACAGAGAAACUAUCACUGGGUGGGAAUAUCACUGGAAUCACUUUCAGAACGAUUUUUUCUGUUUAUAAACGAUAAACAUGAGGCCGGAUAUAGAUCAACACUGGUAGUGGAGCACAUGCAGGGGUGACAGAGGUGAUUUGGUGAGACAUGUCAAGCUAAAUUAGGUGUGCUUACAACAGGUUGACCUCUCAGUAGCAGACUGGACGCGGGUGUGUCCAAUAGCAUCUCAGGAGGGGGCUUUCAACAUUAUGAUGGACACGCACAACUGCUGUCUUUUUGUGGUGACUUGAAAGGUUUCUGGGUGCCCUUAACAUAAUGCAAGACUUUUCCAUGUAUGGGCAUGCUGUUGAACCUGUAAGGUCGAUUUUAAUGCAACAGUAUUUAUUUUUUCAUGUACAGUCACGUUUAACUGAAAGUAAUGAACAUGUUUUUCUUGUAAUGUUCCACGCAAACAUGCACGGUGCAUCUACUUCAUGAUGCUACUUUGUAAUGCUGGAUCCUUAUUGUAGACAACUGUGUAGUAGUCCCAAUCUCUGUGUUAAUAGUCAAUAUAGUUUUGUAGAUAACUGAGGGACCUGAAUGAUGUUCGUAACGUCAGGAUCUAAGGUUUGAUUCCCAGGGAAUGUGUGGACUGACAAUGUAUAAACCUUAAAUGCACUGCAAGUCAUUUUGCAUGGCUCUUAUAAAUGUAUAAAACUAAAGCAUAAAUUUAAAAUACGGAA